UACGUAGGGGGCAAGCGUUGUCCGGAAUUAUUGGGCGUAAAGAGCUCGUAGGCGGUUUGUCGCGUCUGCUGUGAAAACUCGGGGCUUAACCCCGGGCCUGCAGUGGGUACGGGCAGACUAGAGUGCGGUAGGGGAGACUGGAAUUCCUGGUGUAGCGGUGAAAUGCGCAGAUAUCAGGAGGAACACCGGUGGCGAAGGCGGGUCUCUGGGCCGUAACUGACGCUGAGGAGCGAAAGCGUGGGGAGCGAACAGG
rnacentral:rRNA from 1 species